AUUGAACGCUGGCGGCAGGCCUAACACAUGCAAGUCGAGCGAGCGGCGGACGGGUGAGUAAUGUAUGGGGCCUGCGCGAUAGAUGGGGAUCACUACUGGAAACUGUGGCUAAUACCGCAUACUAUCGGAUAACCCAUAUGGGAUUAGCUAGUAGGUGGGGUAAAGGCUCACCUAGGCGACGAUCUCUAGCUGGUCUGAGAGGAUGAUCAGCCACACUGGGACGGAGACACGGCCCAGACGCCUACGGAGGCAGCAGUGGGGAAUAUUGCACAAUGGGCGAAAGCCGGAUGCAGCCAUGCCGCGUGUGUGAAGAAGGCCUUAGGGUUGUAAAGUACUUUCAGUGGGGAGGCGUUACCCGCAGAAGAAGCACCGGCUAACUCCGUGCCAGCAGCCGCGGUAAUUC
rnacentral:rRNA from 1 species